UCUUCCAUUUCUUUCCACCGACCCUACUCAUACACCAAACCCUUCUUCGUCGGCGGCAAUAGAAUUCCGGCGGGUCAUCGACGGCGACAGAGCUCCGGCGGAGACAUUUUCUUCUUCUUCGCCUCUUCUCUUCUUCUCCUCCUCUCCAUUCUUCUUCUUCGACAAAUAGCUCCGGUGGUAGGGCCGGCGACCAUUCUUCUUCUUCUUCGCCUUCUCCGGUGGUGGGUCCGAUCUGAAAGACGAACAGAACUGCCAAAUCGAAAUAGGUAUUGGAAAACUUUCUUGGAACCAACACAACUCUCAGCCUACUAUUGUUUUUUCUUGGAUCAUCUUCAAGGCAUUUCAUGUGUAACAAGGUUUCUCUUUCCCUCUUUAUCUUCCAUUGUCUUUCUCUUUCCCACACAAUUUAUGUUUAUUCUGGCUAUAUUAGGUGUUAUAUGAAUAAACUUUAUCUUUACUUCAUGAAAUUUCUCAACGAGAACUUAUAUUUCUUCUCGGUGCAACCAAUGGUUGUUCUCUUUAUCCCAUUUCCUGUGCACAGGUGUGUGUAAAAGAAUGGUCUGUUAUUUUUUUUUUUCUUUUAUUCUUCCCUAUGUAGUUUUAGUCUAACUUCAAACUAAUUACAACUAUCAGCCACGGAUGCUAGCUUGUGGCAAAAAAAACAUGAAUAUAAGGUGUUAGCACCCAAUUUUUGCUCGGUCCACCAUCCGAACCACCAAUUCACCCCAAACACCCAAUCAGACCCUUCCGAUCCCUCCAAAACACCCAAAAACCCUGACUUUCACCCCCGAUCACUCAAAUCCACCAUCAAACCUGCACGAUACCUAUCCGAUGGCUCCGAUCAACCCACAAUUACACCUCAAUCAUCAGAUCAGACACAACCAUCAGUUCUCAGACACUCCCAAAUACGCACCUGUGAAAUCUCAACCCAAAAUACCUCCAUUGGCCCUUUAAUCGCACCAAGAUUCCAUUUCAAGGUCCCAGAUUAACCGAAUCAAGCCCUUUCCAAAAUAGCCUGAUCUGGGCCCAGUUGGGCCAAUUUGACCCCACUAAUCAACUCAGAAUCCACGAAAACUCUACCUUACCAAAUUUUAGCAAAAAAUACCCAUAUUUACCCUUCCAUCUAAAAAGAUUCCAUUUCGGUCAAUCUCGUUAGCCCAUAGACACAAAACCCCCUAUGUAGUCAUACCCAUCUCAACCCUCCAUUUUCUGACCCAGAAAUCCCCACCAUUGAACCAGAAACCCGGCCUAACCCCCUUAAACCCAGUUUGACCCUCUUAGACCCAAUUUGCCAUUCCUCAAAAUUACCAAAUUACCCCUGGCCAAGUUCCCAAAUUACCCACUGCACCAAAUUCCCAAAAUACCCUUUUCUCCCAAAUUACCCCUCACCUUCCAAAAUUACCAAAAUUACCUGAAUUGCCCCUUUGAUUGAUUCCCAAACUACCCCUUUGUCCAAUUCCCAAAUUACCCCUGAUAUAAAUCCUAAAAAUGUCCCUCCUUUGAAAAUUUCCCUAAAUUCUCUUGACCAAAGUUAACCCAAAUUACCCCCGGCCUAAUUCCCAAAUUACCCCAAUCAAGAUUUCCAAAAUUCCCAAAAUACCCGCGACCAAAAUUACCUGAAAUACCCCUUGAACAAUUCCCAAAUUACCCUUAAGUCCCUGACCUAAAUCCCAAAAAAUGUCCCUCCUAAAAUUAUCAAGAUACCCUUGACCAUAAGACCUCUUUAACCAAUAACCAAAAUACCCUUGACCUAAUUCCCAAAAUACCCCUCCUUUCAAAAUUACCUAAAACACCCCUAACCCAAAUAUGACCCUAAAUACACCCUUGCAAACCCUAAAUUUUGGCAGAAACCACCCUUUCCUUUCCUUUUAAAUAGGGAGCAUCAUUCCCAAGAAGAGGGGGUUGAGAGGUGAAGCUCGAGAAAGGGGUCUCUUUGAAUAGAUAUCAGASAGGUCUUAUUCUCUGGCGGUGAGAACAGAAAGUUUCGAGAAAAGAGAGGAGAAAAGAGGGAAAGGGGUGGUUAAGAGAAGGAUCUCGAGAGAGAAAAGAGAGGGACCUCCGAGAGAGUUAGAGGAUAGAGAGCAUCUGAAAUAUAGACUGAGGGGGAUUAGAGCAAAGAGCGAGAGCUAAGAGCUUUGAGAGAAAGAAAGAGGGAAGGCUGAGUUUUGAAAGAAAAAAUAGAGUACUUGCACAAGAGGGUUUGAGAGGAAGUUUGGUUGAGAGUGAGAAAAAUGGAGAGAGAUGGGAGAAAGAUCUGAGAGAGGAUAGAGAGAAGGAAACGAACAAGGAUUUUGCGAAGAGCGCAAUAGGUAAAGAAGGGUUUGAAUAAGAAGGGAAUACAACUCGAAGGGUCAGCCCCCGAUCUCUCCUUCUCUUUCUCRUCCAACAUCAGGAGGGCGUCCUGGUAACAUUUAGCGGCCUAAGAACCCUAGUUCCCUAUUAUCUUCAUCUCAUCUUGCAUCUAUGGUUUAGACUCCACCAUAUUCUGGUUCGAAAUUCGACUGAAGCAUCUACAUCCGAAAGCCUUUUUAACAAAAAAUUGGAACCAUAUUCAGAACCCMUAUUGCAGCAUCAUCGACCCGAUUCAUAGACCACAAGAGGUAAAAUUUGUUACCUCAUCUUCUUUCCCCUGUUCGAAGUASUUCAUCUUUUUUAUCUAUUUUAUUCAUUUGCUUAUUUAUUUCCUGUAUUGUCGACUUGCUUGCUUCUAUGGUAGUAUUGUUGGUUCAGUUCUGCAAUCGGGGUGUUCUCCUGUAACCGAGAGGCUAGCAUGCUUCUCCACUCUUUAGACCAGUUCAACUGCAUCCAAAAGGGGACUGGUCUGCAAGAGAAGAGAUAACAUGCUCCUUUGAGUUGCUAGAGAACCUGAUUUUGAUAACUGGUAAGCCAUGAUGGGAAAUAUAGUAUUCACAUUGACCAGAGGGUGCCUAACCCCUUCCCUCUCUCUUUCUCAACUUACCCAGAGCGGCCUUGUCCUAGCUGAUCGGUAUGGAGUCGUUGGUUUUAAAUGGUUUCGUAAAAUUUAAAUCCGGGAUACCCAUCAUUCCCCAUUAUUAAUUCCUGAUGGCUGGUGACUCCAUAGCAUCGACCAUGAAGUGAACUACCGGUUUUUCCCAACGUUCACACAAGGUGAGGAGAAGAAAUGGGAGAUUUCUUUUUCAACUUCAAACUGCAUAAAUUUCAUAAAUUAAUCCAUCAAUUUAUGCCACAUGGAGGGAUAUUGUGGCUGAUUCAGACAAUUCAUCARAUGGGGGACCCCACUGAAUUUGCCAAUUGCCAGUUGUUCAAUCCCUUACGGUCCAUAUCAGCCAUAUAGCCUACUUUGUAUUGGUAGUUUUAACAAUUAAUAAUUGCUAUUAAAACUUUAAAAGUUCUUAUUUUUAACAUAAAACUUAGCCAUAAAGAGUUGGCUUGUUUUAUACAUGUAAAAAAGUGUUUUUUGGCUUUUUUUUCACUAUAUACAAAGAGUGAGGAGAGAAACUCAUGCAAUCCUUUCGAAUUCCUAAUUAAUUUGCCACAUAUAAGAUUUAUUGUGGCAGAGGAAGUUUGGAAGCUCCUUUUUCGGAAGAGGAAGUUUGGCAGGUGAUAAAGAAUUUAGAUUCAGAAAAGUCCCUGGGUCCGGAUGGGCUUACCAAUUUAUUUUACAAAAGCUGUUGGGAUGUGGUGAAAACAGAAGUGAUGCAGGUUUUCUAGGAAUUCCAUAGAAAUGCCUCAUUGAAAAGAAUCUUAAAUUCUACAUUCAUAUCUUUGAUCCCAAAAAUUGAAGGAGCCACAAAUUUGAAGGAUUUCAGACCUAUUAGCCUCCUGAAUAGCUUCUAUACGAUUCUGGCCAGGGUUUUGACAGAGAGGUUGAAAAAGGUGCUGCCRAGUGUGAUCUCUCAAAAUCAGUUUGCGUUUGUCCCUGGUCAUCAAAUGAUGGAUAGUGUCUUGGUAGCUAAUGAAUUAAUUGAUUCAAGGUUAAGGGAAGGAAAUUCGAGUCUACUUURCAAACUUGACCUCGAAAAGGCCUAUGAUAAUGUCAAUUGGAGAUGUUUGGACUGUGUUGAAAAAAUGAAGUUUGGGCAGACUUGGAGAAACUGGAUUAAAGUCGUGUCACCUCUCCUAAGGGGCUCAAGCAGGGAGACCCUCUCUCCCCUCUUUUGUUCAUAUGUGUGAUGAAAAUACUUACAAUCUUCAUCCAAAAAAUAGGGGAGGGGGUGGAAGGGCUUUGAGGUGGUGCCUGGAGGGGAGAAGGUUCAGGUUCUUUAAUUCGUAGAUGACACCUUUAUGGAAGCCAAUGAAGAACACUAUGACCUCUUAGUGGGAGUUCUAAGCUGGUUCAAAGUGGCGACAGGUCUGAAAGUCAAUUGAAGUAAAAGUUGUUUGAUCCCAGUGGGAAAAGUGGAAAAUGUAGAGGACUUGGCAAAGAGUUUAGCGUGUCAGGUGGGAUUCCUCCCAACAAAAUAUCUGGGACUCCCCCUAGGAGCAAAAUGCACUUCAGCACUGAUCUGGGAACCAGUCUUAGAGUGGCUAGAAAAGAAAUUGGCAUCUUGGAAGACUAAAUACUUGUCCUUGGGGAGCAGAAUUACUUUGUUAAAAAGCUCCUUAUCCAACUUGCCAGCAUUCUAUCUCUCUUUAUUUCCAAUCCCAAGUAAAGUGGCCAAAAGAAUUGAGAGGCUGCAAAGGGACUUUUUAUGUAAAGGAUGGGAGGAGGAUAGGAAGAAAAUCCACUUGGUGAGUUGGUGCUCUCUGAAAAGUAAAGGAGGUUUUGAAUACAAGGCGAAUGAGGACCUUUAAUAAGGCUCUUCUUGGGAAAUGGAUCUGGAGGUUUGGGUUAGAAAGAAACCCUUGGUGGAGGAAGUUUUUUUUUAUGGAAAUUGGUGGAGGAAGUUAAUGGCAACAAAAUACAACACACAUAGAGGAGAUUGGAUCACCACUUCUUCUCCCCCAUCCCUAGGCUGUUCGGUAUGGAGGAAAAUAAUGGACAUUCUACCCAUUUUCAGUAGAGGCUUAAGCCCCAUCCUUGGGAAGGGUGACAGGUUGUCCUUCUGGAAAGAUCCCUGGUGUGGAAAUACUACUCUUUCAGAGAUAUUCCCACAUCUAUUCCAGUUAGCAGACCAUCAAGAUGCAGUGGUUGCUGAUUGCUUUGAGGUGGUGGGGAACUCAGUAGCCUGGUGCCCUUCUUUCAGAAGAAAUUUUCAGGAUUGGGAAAUUCCUGUCCUGGCUGAUCUACUCGAAUUGCUCUCCCUUCAACCCCUAAAUCUGCUCAAAGAAGACAGCUGGUCCUGGACUUGGAGUACAAAUGCCCUCUUUUCAAUCAAAUCAUUUGCCACUCACAUGACAAUGAGUACUUCUGAAGAUAUGCCUGCUUCCAGAAUCUGGAAUCCAACCUCUCCCUCAAAAAUCAAUGCUCUAGUGUGGGCUGCAGUUCUAGACAGGUGUUUAACUAAAGCCCACCUAUGUAAGAGAGGGGUUCAUAUCCAGAACCAGAGGUGUGUGUUAUGUGGUCAAGCCGUCAAGGAGUGGAAGAUAGCAGUCAUCUGUUUCUGCACUGCUCAAUUUCAGCUAGAAUGUGGAAUAAUUUCCUUUGUUCGGUGGGUCCUGCCUGGUCAAUGCCAGUUUCGGUGAAGGAGAUGUUGUGGAGCUGGGGAUUACAGGGUUUGUCAAAGCUUGCUUCAGUUGUGUGGAUGUCCAUGCCGGCUGCAGUCAUCAGCACCAUUUGGGCAGAAAGGAACAAAAGACUUUUUCUGAAUUUCUACAAGGAUGCGGAAGACCUGAUAUCCGUUUAUGUUGGAAAGCUGAUUUCUUGAGUCUCAGCUUUGAAGAGAAUCCUGGCUGCUGAGUUGGGGGCUAGGCUGAAUUCUAGGAGCCUAUGGCAUCCGUAAUUUUGUUAUGUUUGGGCUGUUUCCCCAUCUAAGGUGUUUAGUUGGGGGGCCGUUGUACUAGUUUUUUGUAUCAAUAAAAUUUACAUUACCUUUUCUCAAAAAAAAAAAAAGAUUUAUUGGAUCAUCACUAAAACCCUGCUAUACAUGUACAAAAUGAUCAUAACAAUUGCACAUCUAAUAGGAAACCCUCUUUUUUCGAAGCCUGGAAACCCUCUUUAUUGGCGACAAAUUCAAUGCCCACCCUUAUAUACCCUAUCUUAUAUUGGGUUUUUCCACAAUGAUAAUGAUCAAAUGUUUUUUUUUUUGAUAGAUAUGAUAAUGAUCAAAUGYUCUGAAAUAUGUAGAGGUAGGAGAGGUUUCUUAGCAUUAUAAAUGUUUUGAAAUAUGGGAAUGAUGUUCCCAAUUCACGUGUGGAAUUCAGAAAGUGAUGAUGCAAUUGGGGUUGGUGGUUGAGGUUUAGGCCCAAGCCGAACUGUAUUUAGAGGGACCGACCUACCUUAGCCUCCAGCUCAAAGUUACUCAAUCCCAGCCCAACUUAACGUUAUUCUCUCCAAUUUCAAUUUGCUUCAUCUUCAAGUGCAAAUGUACAGUCAUGUAGAACAAUGGCUUCUCAUAUAAAACCUAUGGACAUCCCAUAGCCACCAAGCCAUGACAUACAACUCUUGGCACAGAAAUGCAUUCAAACCAAUAUUAUUUAAAACUAGACCCUAGGCUACCUAGCUUWCUAUAACAGCUUAUGAUUUGAUCAGUAAAUAUGAUAGAGCACCUGCUGAAUAGGGGUUUGAUCAGUAAAACUAUCUAGGAUUUAAUUUUAAUUUACAUGCUGAAUAGACAUUACAUUUAAGCAGUUUUCUGUUCUUAUAAUCGAUGCAUAUCAGCCUAUUGAUUUCACCAUUUUCAUGAGUASUGUGUGGGACUGAUGCAUGAGGUUUAAAAGUAUAUGGUUUUUGAUAAUUGAAAGUGGACUAAUGCUGAAACAUUAGGUGACUUUGAGUGAUAUACCUAAAAAUGUUGUUUUCUUUUUACUAAUGCUGGUCCACUUUCACCAAAUUCUUUAAUGUGUAUAAUAUUUUUAAACUUAUUUAUUUUUCUCAUCAUUUGCCAAAGGCAUGGUAAUUUUUUUU